rnacentral:siRNA from 1 species
GCGGUUGACGGCAACGUU